GAUGAACGCUGGCGGCGUGCCUAAUACAUGCAAGUCGAGCGAACGGACGAGAAGCUUGCUUCUCUGCUGUUAGCGGCGGACGGGUGAGUAACACGUGGAUAACCUACCUAUAAGACUGGGAUAACUUCGGGAAACCGGAGCUAAUACCGGAUAAUAUUUUGAACCGCAUGGUUCAAAAGUGAAAGACGGUCUUGCUGUCACUUAUAGAUGGAUCCGCGCUGCAUUAGCUAGUUGGUAAGGUAACGGCUUACCAAGGCAACGAUGCGUAGCCGACCUGAGAGGGUGAUCGGCCACACUGGAACUGAGACACGGUCCAGACUCCUACGGGAGGCAGCAGUAGGGAAUCUUCCGCAAUGGGCGAAAGCCUGACGGAGCAACGCCGCGUGAGUGAUGAAGGUCUUCGGAUCGUAAAACUCUGUUAUUGGGGAAGAACAUAUGUGUAAGUAACUGUGCACGUCUUGACGGUACCUAAUCAGAAAGCCACGGCUAACUACGUG
rnacentral:rRNA from 1 species